GGGUCUUCAGCAGUGAUUAACAUUAAAAAUAAACGUCAGUUUGAUUUAGUCAACGAAGACAGAGCCGGCCAAUCUGGUGCCAGCCGCCGCGGUUACACCAAGAGGCUCAAAUUGAUUCGGCGUAAAGCGUGAUUAAAGUAGGGUUAAACUUCAACUAAGCUGUAGCACGCUUGUUCUUUGGAAAACCAUAAUUCGAAAGAUACCCUAACCGACCAACUUGAACUCACGAUAACUAGACCACAAACUGGGAUUAGAUACCCCACUAUGCCUAGUCAUAAACUUUAACUUACAUCGCCCGGGAACUACGAGCAAAGCUUAAAACCCAAAGGACUUGACGGUGCCCCACAUCCCCCUAGAGGAGCCUGUCCUAUAAUCGAUACCCCACGUUUAACCUCACCACUUUUAGCAGCCUGUAUACUUCCGUCAUCAGCUUACCGCAUGAGCGAGUAAGCCUAAUGCCAAUAUGUCAGGUCAAAGUGCAGCUUAUGAAGUGGAAAGAGAUGGGCUACACUCUCUACCAUAGAAAAUACGAAAGACUAUGUGAAACAGAAGGUGGAUUUAGUAGUAAAAAGAGAAAGAAUACUCUUUUUAACCCGCACUGGGGCGUGUACACACCGCCCGUCACCCUCUUC
rnacentral:rRNA from 1 species